rnacentral:misc_RNA from 1 species
UUUUUUUUUUUCCUUUUUUUUUCUAUUGACUUCUUACUCUUCUCUGCUGGUCACCAUUCUAUUCUUACUUCCUAUUUCAUGUAAUUGCUUGCAGAUAGCUAGUUUUAUCAAGACUCACAUAUUUAGCCGGAGAAGACCGAUUGAUGGGUGGAAAUAUAUGAUAGAGGAGCUGGGACCAAAUGCCAAGAAAGGGAAAGGUAGUGUCUCAAGGAUACCAAGUCUUUCUGACUCAUCAACUCAACCAUUUAAGGAGGAGAGGACAACAGUUGGCAACAAUUUCAUGCCCUUGAAGGGGAAAUAGUUGCAGGUUUCAAUUUUGCAAUUUUGUCACAUAAUCAACAUGCUUCAAUUCAAUUACCUCUCAUGUCAUGUGUUAUAAUUAUUUCUUUCAUUUGCUAUCAUCAAAUGCAAGCAGCACAUGGUUCAGAUUGACCUUGCAUUUGCAUAGCAAAAAUACCCAAAAUUGUGAUUUUGGGGAAUUAGAGAGAAUAAACUGGUGGAUAUUGCUAGUCAUGUUCAAUGUGCUGUGAGAACAAGUACAGGUGAAUGUGAAUUGUUUGUUCCGAUUCAGAAAGCAAUAUUUUCAUGUCGCUGCUGUUGUGCAUGUUUGGCAUUAAGGGUGGAAGAAUAAAACUGCUUCUGAAGGAAAA